UCUCCGUUGGUGAACCAGCGGAGGGAUCAUUACCGAGUUUACAACUCCCAAACCCCUGUGAACAUACCUUAAUGUUGCCUCGGCGGAUCAGCCCGCGCCCCGUAAAGCGGGACGGCCCGCCAGAGGACCCAAACUCUAAUGUUUCUUAUUGUAACUUCUGAGUAAAACAAACAAAUAAAUCAAAACUUUCAACAACGGAUCUCUUGGUUCUG
rnacentral:misc_RNA from 1 species